rnacentral:rRNA from 1 species
AGAGUUUGAUCCUGGCUCAGAACGAACGCUGGCGGCGUGCUUAACACAUGCAAGUCGAGUGCGCGUGCCGUAGCAAUACGGUAUGGCGCACGGCGCACGGGUGCGUAACACGUGGGCAAUCUGCCUCCGGUGGGGAAUAACCCCGCGAAAGCGGAGCUAAUUCCGCAUGACAUUCCCUGGAUUCCGGUUCGGGGACUCAA